AGUGAUAACACAACAUAACAAAUUUUCACUUUUGUCUUGUUCCUGGGUUAAAACCUUAAUUUCCCAUUUCUUCACAACCAAUCAAAAGAGAAAAGAGUGGUCUUGACCGCCAAACUUUGGUUUUGUGGUCAGGACAAUGCAAUUGCAAAUUAACCAGUUGUGACAUUCACUUAGUGUCACUAUUAAU